GCCCAUGUGUAGAGGUACGUAAUGUUGUUGCUGUUUUAGCGAUGGGCUAUCUGCGCUCUGUCUUCAAUGAGAAGAACGUCAUUAGAACAGUUGACCAAUUCCUUUUGAGCGUAUCCGUGUGUUUAGACAAGAGUGAAAGGAAAAGAUCUGGGGUGGAAAGGGCGUAGAGUUAAGUGGGCAAGGAGGAGUGCAGAAUUACAUCACCAGAAGAUCCAAAAAGACAAUCUUCUAAAAGAUGUCAGGAACUGAAGAAAACAA